rnacentral:rRNA from 1 species
UACGAAGGGGGCAAGCGUUGUCCGGAAUUAUUGGGCGUAAAGAGCUCGUAGGCGGUGUGUCGCGUCGGCCGUGAAAACCUGCAGCUUAACUGUGGGCUUGCGGUCGAUACGGGCAUCACUGGAGUUCGGCAGGGGAGACUGGAAUUCCUGGUGUAGCGGUGAAAUGCGCAGAUAUCAGGAGGAACACCGGUGGCGAAGGCGGGUCUCUGGGCCGAUACUGACGCUGAGGAGCGAAAGCGUGGGGAGCGAACAGG